GAUGAACGCUGGCGGCGUGCCUAAUACAUGCAAGUCGAGCGAACGGACGAGAAGCUUGCUCCUCUGAUGUUAGCGGCGGACGGGUGAGUAACACGUGGAUAACCUACCUAUAAGACUGGGAUAACUUCGGGAAACCGGAGCUAAUACCGGAUAAUAUUUUGAACCGCAUGGUUCAAAAGUGAAAGACGGUUUUGCUGUCACUUAUAGAUGGAUCCGCGCUGUAUUAGCUAGUUGGUAAGGUAACGGCUUACCAAGGCAACGAUGCAUAGCCGACCUGAGAGGGUGAUCGGCCACACUGGAACUGAGACACGGUCCAGACUCCUACGGGAGGCAGCAGUAGGGAAUCUUCCGCAAUGGGCGAAAGCCUGACGGAGCAACGCCGCGUGAGUGAUGAAGGUCUUCGGAUCGUAAAACUCUGUUAUUAGGGAAGAACAUAUGUGGAAGUAACUGUGCACAUCUUGACGGUACCUAAUCAGAAAGCCACGGCUAACUACGUG
rnacentral:rRNA from 1 species